rnacentral:rRNA from 1 species
GAGUUUGAUCCUGGCUCAGAACGAACGCUGGCGGCGUGCUUAACACAUGCAAGUCGAACGUGAUCCAGAGCUUGCUCUGGUGAAAGUGGCGCACGGGUGAGUAACGCGUGGGUAACCUGCCCUGUAUCUGGGAUAACAUCUCGAAAGGGGUGCUAAUACCGGAUAAGCCUACGGGCUCUUCGGAGUCUGCAGGAAAAGGAGGCCUCUAUUUAUAAGCUUCCGUAUCAUGAUGGGUCCGCGUACCAUUAGCUAGUUGGUGGGGUAAUGGCCUACCAAGGCGACGAUGGUUAGCUGGUCUGAGAGGAUGAUCAGCCACACUGUAACUGAGACACGGUCCAGACUCCUACGGGAGGCAGCAGUGGGGAAUUUUGCGCAAUGGGGGAAACCCUGACGCAGCAACGCCGCGUGAGUGAUGAAGGCUUUCGGGUCGUAAAGCUCUGUCAGAGGGGAAGAAAUGAAACGUGCUAAUAUCACGUUUUCUUGACGGUACCCUCAAAGGAAGCACCGGCUAACUCCGUGCCAGCAGCCGCGGUAAUAC